rnacentral:rRNA from 1 species
AUUGAACGCUGGCGGCAUGCCUAACACAUGCAAGUCGAACGGCAGCACGGCAGUAGCAAUACUGUGGGUGGCGAGUGCGGACGGGUGAGGAAUACGUCGGAAUCUGCCCAGUCGUGGGGGAUAACUAGCCGAAAGGUUAGCUAAUACCGCAUACGACCGAGAGGUGAAAGCGGGGGACCGCAAGGCCUCGCGCGAUUGGAUGAGCCGACGUCGGAUUAGCUAGUUGGUGGGGUAAAGGCCCACCAAGGCGACGAUCCGUAGCUGGUCUGAGAGGAUGAUCAGCCACACUGGAACUGAGACACGGUCCAGACUCCUACGGGAGGCAGCAGUGGGGAAUAUUGGACAAUGGGCGCAAGCCUGAUCCAGCAAUGCCGCGUGUGUGAAGAAGGCCUUCGGGUUGUAAAGCACUUUUAUCAGGAACGAAAAGCGUUGGAUUAAUACUCUGACGUGCUGACGGUACCUGAGGAAUAAGCACCGGCUAACUUCGUG